rnacentral:lncRNA from 1 species
GCCAUGAUUGGUCUCUUGCUAUUUCUACACCACUGAGGACUGAACACUCCAAAUCCUCGAUCAAGGCUAAGGAUAAAAUCAAUUGAGGCCGAGAUGAUGGUCCACAACAAAAUGGAAUUAAAGAUUUUCAUAAAGAAGUCCCAAGAGAAGAAAUGGAAUCAGAUACUCCAUAACUUUAAUGCGUAACCCCUGCCCUCAC